AGUACCGUGAGGGAAAGGUGAAAAGUACCCCGGGAGGGGAGUGAAAUAGAACCUGAAACCGUUUGCUUACAAUCCGUUGGAGCCUCCUUGUAGGGGUGACAGCGUGCCUUUUGAAGAAUGAGCCUGCGAGUUAGCGAUAUGUGGCGAGGUUAACCCGUGAGGGGUAGCCGUAGCGAAAGCGAGUCUGAAUAGGGCGAUUCAGUCGCAUGUCCUAGACCCGAAGCGAAGUGAUCUAUCCAUGGCCAGGUUGAAGCGACGGUAAGACGUCGUGGAGGACCGAACCCACUUCAGUUGAAAAUGGAGGGGAUGAGCUGUGGAUAGGGGUGAAAGGCCAAUCAAACUCUGUGAUAGCUGGUUCUCCCCGAAAUGCAUUUAGGUGCAGCGUUACGUGUUUCUUGCCGGAGGUAGAGCUACUGGAUGGCCGAUGGGCCUUCACGGGUUACUGACGUCAGCUAAACUCCGAAUGCCGGUAAGUGAGAGCGUAGCAGUGAGACAGUGGGGGAUAAGCUUCAUUGUCGAGAGGGAAACAGCCCAGACCACCAACUAAGGCCCCUAAGCGUGUGCUAAGUGGGAAAGGAUGUGGAGUUGCUUAGACAACCAGGAGGUUGGCUUAGAAGCAGCCAUCCUUGAAAGAGUGCGUAAUAGCUCACUGGUCAAGUGAUUCUGCGCCGAUAAUGUAGCGGGGCUCAAGUACACCGCCGAAGUUGUGGCAAUCAGUCUUUGUGGCUGGUUGGGUAGGGGAGCGUCCUGCACGAGGUGAAGCUGCCACGGGAGUGUGUGGUGGAUUGUGUGGGAGUGAGAAUGCAGGCAUGAGUAGCGAAUCACGGGUGAGAAACCCGUGCGCCGGAUGAUCAAGGGUUCCAGGGUCAAGUUAAUCUGCCCUGGGUUAGUCGGGGCCUAAGGCGAGGCCGACAGGCGUAGUCGAUGGAGAACGGGUUGAUAUUCCCGUACCAGUGAAGGACCGUCCAUACUGAUAUUGUGAUGCUAACCAUGCCGAUCACGGUGUCAUGAAGUUUUUCUUUGUGGUGUUGUGGGGUGUGUGGGACCCAAGCUUUGGAGGUAAGCGUGUUAACAGGUGUGACGCAGGAAGGUAGCCAAGCCACGCGGUGGUUGUCGUGGUCUAAGCGUGUAGGAUGACUGGUUGUUAAAUGCGCCGGUUGUGUGUCUGAGACGUGAUGGGACCCCUUGUUUGUGGGGGAUUUGGUGAUCCUAUGCUGCCGAGAAAAGCAUCGGCGUGAGGUUUUAGCUGCCCGUACCCGAAACCGACACAGGUGAUCAGGUAGAGAAUACUAAGGCGAUCGAGAGAAUCAUGGUUAAGGAACUCGGCAAAAUGCCCCCGUAACUUCGGGAGAAGGGGGGCCCUGAGCGUGAUCUGCCCGUGCGGUGGGGAGCGUGUAGGGGUCGCAGAGACCAGGGGGAAGCGACUGUUUAUCAAAAACACAGGUCCGUGCGAAGUCGUAAGACGAUGUAUACGGACUGACUCCUGCCCGGUGCUGGAAGGUUAAGGGGAACUGUGAGUGUAUGCGUAGCGGUGAACUUAAGCCCCAGUAAACGGCGGUGGUAACUAUAACCAUCCUAAGGUAGCGAAAUUCCUUGUCGGGUAAGUUCCGACCUGCACGAAUGGAGUAACGACUUCCCCGCUGUCUCAACCAUGAACUCGGCGAAAUUGCAUUACGAGUAAAGAUGCUCGUUACGCGCAGAAGGACGGAAAGACCCCGUGACCUUUACUAUAGUUUGGUAUUGGUGUUCGGUGUGGCUUGUGUAGGAUAGGUGGGAGACUGUGAAGCGGGCACGCCAGUGUUCGUGGAGUCGCCGUUGAAAUACCACUCUGGUCACUCUGGAUAUCUAACUUCGAACCGUAAUCCGGUUCAGGGACAGUGCCUGGUGGGUAGUUUAACUGGGGCGGUUGCCUCCCAAAAAGUAACGGAGGCGCCCAAAGGUUCCCUCAACCUGGUUGGCAAUCAGGU
rnacentral:rRNA from 1 species